rnacentral:rRNA from 1 species
CCUACGGGAGGCAGCAGUGGGGAAUAUUGGACAAUGGGGGGAAACCCUGAUCCAGCAAUGCCGCGUGUGUGAAGAAGGCCUUCGGGUUGUAAAGCACUUUCAGCAGGGAGGAAGGGUGCGUAGCUAAUACCUGCGCAAUUGACGUUACCUGCAGAAGAAGCACCGGCUAACUCCGUGCCAGCAGCCGCGGUAAUACGGAGGGUGCGAGCGUUAUUCGGAAUUACUGGGCGUAAAGCGCACGCAGGCGGUUGCCCAAGUCAGAUGUGAAAGCCCCGGGCUUAACCUGGGAACUGCAUUUGAAACUGGGCGACUAGAGUAUGAAAGAGGAAAGCGGAAUUUCCAGUGUAGCAGUGAAAUGCGUAGAUAUUGGAAGGAACACCGAUGGCGAAGGCAGCUUUCUGGGUCGAUACUGACGCUCAUGUGCGAAAGCGUGGGGAGCAAACAGGAUUAGAUACCCUGGUAGUC